UUGACGGUGCGAUAGACCGUCGAAAUCGAGAUCUUGUCGUCGACUGCAACGCAGCGCCGGUAAAGUUCCUCGACGUCGGGAUGAUCCAUGGCCUCAGCGAGCACGCGCGCAAUGACGCGGCGCUGCUCGGUCAUGCGCAUGCCGGCUGCGGCGCAACGCUUUUCGAUAUCCGUGUGCUUGCCUGUGGGCACGGGCUUCAAGGACGACAUCUUGCGAGGUUCCGGUGGAUAGAGCGGUGUUUUGCCACCAGCCGCAGCUUACGACAAGUCUCGCUGCAUCACCACGGCGUUCAAUUGUUCGCCGCUGGCGUCCUUGUAGUACCGUUCGCGGCG
rnacentral:misc_RNA from 1 species